CAAGGGAUGGGGAUGGGACCCUGGCUGACAGCUUUCGGUUGUGAACACAGCUGCAUGAUGAGGAUGGCCCUGGUCGAAGGGAUGGGAAGGGAUACUAGCUGACAGGAUGAGGAUUGCGGGGACACAGCUGCAGGAUGGGAUUGGAAACCCUGGCCAAAGGGAUGGGGGAUGGGACCCUGGCUGCCAGGAUGGGAAACCUGUCUCGAGGGAUGGGAUUAGCGCCGGCCCGGCCCUUAAAAUGGGAGAUCGGAGUCGAUCACCCCAGCCAGGAUGGGAGGAUGGCUGACCACUACCACCCCCCAGGAUUGGG
rnacentral:lncRNA from 1 species